rnacentral:rRNA from 1 species
AUUGAACGCUGGCGGCAGGCCUAACACAUGCAAGUCGAGCGGUAGAGAGAAGCUUGCUUCUCUUGAGAGCGGCGGACGGGUGAGUAAUGCCUAGGAAUCUGCCUGGUAGUGGGGGAUAACGUUCGGAAACGGACGCUAAUACCGCAUACGUCCUACGGGAGAAAGCAGGGGACCUUCGGGCCUUGCGCUAUCAGAUGAGCCUAGGUCGGAUUAGCUAGUUGGUGAGGUAAUGGCUCACCAAGGCGACGAUCCGUAACUGGUCUGAGAGGAUGAUCAGUCACACUGGAACUGAGACACGGUCCAGACUCCUACGGGAGGCAGCAGUGGGGAAUAUUGGACAAUGGGCGAAAGCCUGAUCCAGCCAUGCCGCGUGUGUGAAGAAGGUCUUCGGAUUGUAAAGCACUUUAAGUUGGGAGGAAGGGUUGUAGAUUAAUACUCUGCAAUUUUGACGUUACCGACAGAAUAAGCACCGGCUAACUCUGUGCCAGCAGCCGCGGUAAUACAGAGGGUGCAAACGUUAAUCGGAAUUACUGGGCGUAAAGCGCGCGUAGGUGGUUUGUUAAGUUGGAUGUGAAAUCCCCGGGCUCAACCUGGGAACUGCAUUCAAAACUGACUGACUAGAGUAUGGUAGAGGGUGGUGGAAUUUCCUGUGUAGCGGUGAAAUGCGUAGAUAUAGGAAGGAACACCAGUGGCGAAUGCGACCACCUGGACUAAUACUGACACUGAGGUGCGAAAGCGUGGGGAGCAAACAGG